GUAGCAAAUAGUACUAAAACAGUACUGAGUAAUACGCCCGCCAUUUGAUUUCACGACACCAAAGCCAUGGGAUCUUA